GGUGACUGGGAAAACACUUGGAGUCGAGGUGGAUCCUGGACAAGGCCCAGCUUGCCAGGUCACUGGAGGACCAAUGACAUAAAGAGAGUGAUGGAUCUAAGGGAGAUUAACUGGAUUUAAAGUGAGGCAAAGCUGUCAGCCUUACUUUCUCCUCCAGAGUCAUCAAAGUCCAGCAGCAACACAAAGUCAAGACCAUCGUUGAUGGCCCAGGAUGAAAGAUACGAGGAAUUGGUAGCAACAGUUCAUAAG